rnacentral:rRNA from 1 species
UACAGAGGUCCCGAGCGUUGUUCGGAUUCACUGGGCGUAAAGGGUGCGUAGGUGGUUGGGCAAGUCUGAUGUGAAAUCUCCGGGCUUAACCCGGAAAUGGCAUUGGAAACUGCCUGGCUAGAGUGUUGGAGGGGGGACUGGAAUUCUCGGUGUAGCAGUGAAAUGCGUAGAUAUCGAGAGGAACCCCAGUGGCGAAGGCGAGUCCCUGGACAACGACUGACACUGAGGCACGAAAGCUAGGGGAGCAAACAGG